UACGUAGGGUGCAAGCGUUGUCCGGAAUUAUUGGGCGUAAAGAGCUCGUAGGCGGUUUGUCGCGUCUGCUGUGAAAACCCGAGGCUCAACCUCGGGCCUGCAGUGGGUACGGGCAGACUAGAGUGUGGUAGGGGAGACUGGAAUUCCUGGUGUAGCGGUGAAAUGCGCAGAUAUCAGGAGGAACACCGAUGCGAAGGCAGGUCUCUGGGCCACUACUGAC
rnacentral:rRNA from 1 species